rnacentral:rRNA from 1 species
ACGCAAGUGUGAAACUUGAAGGAAUUGACGGAAAGACACCACAAGAACGCGUGGAGCAUGUGGCUUAAUUUGACUCAACGCGGGGAAACUUACCGGGUCCGGACACACUGAGGAUUGACAGGCGCUUACAAUCUGUGAAGGGUUCAUUUCAUUAUGUUCCUCGAUCAGUUGUAAACCAAAGAUGCUAGCCCUUUCAUGAUUGUGUGAUAGGUGGUGCAUGGCCGUUCUUAGUUCGUGGAGUGAUCUGUCUGCUUAAUUGCGUUUCACUAUGAAAAGGUAAGCUGCAUACCAUUGCGCUUCAUUAAUUUGGACCAAUGUUGUAUAAAGCUUGACACCUUUGAAGGCAACGAACGUGACCG